rfam:Fulmarus glacialis contig45878, whole genome shotgun sequence.
GUCUAUUGUCACAUCGCCCUGAACACACUUGAUAUCACCCAUCUUGGAAACUAGACAGGGUCAGGCCCAGUUACUGCUUGGACAGGAGACAACUUGUAAAUACUAGGUGCCAUAGGCU